UACGGAGGGUGCAAGCGUUGUUCGGAAUCAUUGGGCGUAAAGCGCGUGUAGGCGGCUUGGUAAGUCGGGUGUGAAAUCCCGGGGCUCAACCUCGGAACUGCCUUUGAUACUGCAAAUCUCGAGUCCGAUAGAGGUGGGUGGAAUUCCUAGUGUAGAGGUGAAAUUCGUAGAUAUUAGGAAGAACACCGGUGGCGAAGGCGGCCCACUGGAUCGGUACUGACGCUGAGGUGCGAAAGCGUGGGGAGCAAACAGG
rnacentral:rRNA from 1 species